CACGUAGUUAGCCGUGACUUUCUGGUUGAUUACCGUCAAAUAAAGACCAGUUACUGCCUCUAUCCUUCUUCACCAACAACAGAGCUUUACGAUCCGAAAACCUUCUUCACUCACGCGGCGUUGCUCCAUCAGACUUGCGUCCAUUGUGGAAGAUUCCCUACUGCUGCCUCCCGUAGGAGUUUGGGCCGUGUCUCAGUCCCAAUGUGGCCGAUCAGUCUCUCAACUCGGCUACGCAUCAUUGCCUUGGUAGGCCUUUACCCCACCAACUAGCUAAUGCGCCGCGGGCUCAUCCUAAAGUGACAGCUUACGCCGCCUUUCAAACUUGAAUCAUGCGAUUCAUGUUGUUAUCCGGUAUUAGCACCUGUUUCCAAGUGGUAUCCCAGUCUUUAGGGCAGAUUGCCCACGUGUUACUCACCCAUCCGCCGCUAGCGUCCAACAAAUCACCCCGAAGGGAUCUUUGAAUUCAGCUCGCUCGACUUGCAUGUAUUAGGCACGCCCG
rnacentral:rRNA from 1 species